rnacentral:rRNA from 1 species
GAGUUUGAUCAUGGCUCAGAUUGAACGCUGGCGGCAGGCCUAACACAUGCAAGUCGAACGGUAACAGGAAGAAGCUUGCUUCUUUGCUGACGAGUGGCGGACGGGUGAGUAAUGUCUGGGAAACUGCCUGAUGGAGGGGGAUAACUACUGGAAACGGUAGCUAAUACCGCAUAACGUCGCAAGACCAAAGAGGGGGACCUUCGGGCCUCUUGCCAUCGGAUGUGCCCAGAUGGGAUUAGCUAGUAGGUGGGGUAACGGCUCACCUAGGCGACGAUCCCUAGCUGGUCUGAGAGGAUGACCAGCCACACUGGAACUGAGACACGGUCCAGACUCCUACGGGAGGCAGCAGUGGGGAAUAUUGCACAAUGGGCGCAAGCCUGAUGCAGCCAUGCCGCGUGUAUGAAGAAGGCCUUCGGGUUGUAAAGUACUUUCAGCGGGGAGGAAGGGAGUAAAGUUAAUACCUUUGCUCAUUGACGUUACCCGCAGAAGAAGCACCGGCUAACUCCGUGCCAGCAGCCGCGGUAAUACGGAGGGUGCAAGCGUUAAUCGGAAUUACUGGGCGUAAAGCGCACGCAGGCGGUUUGUUAAGUCAGAUGUGAAAUCCCCGGGCUCAACCUGGGAACUGCAUCUGAUACUGGCAAGCUUGAGUCUCGUAGAGGGGGGUAGAAUUCCAGGUGUAGCGGUGAAAUGCGUAGAGAUCUGGAGGAAUACCGGUGGCGAAGGCGGCCCCCUGGACGAAGACUGACGCUCAGGUGCGAAAGCGUGGGGAGCAAGCAGGAUUAGAUACCCUGGUAGUCCACGCCGUAAACGAUGUCGACUUGGAGGUUGUGCCCUUGAGGCGUGGCUUCCGGAGCUAACGCGUUAAGUCGACCGCCUGGGGAGUACGGCCGCAAGGUUAAAACUCAAAUGAAUUGACGGGGGCCCGCACAAGCGGUGGAGCAUGUGGUUUAAUUCGAUGCAACGCGAAGAACCUUACCUGGUCUUGACAUCCACGGAAGUUUUCAGAGAUGAGAAUGUGCCUUCGGGAACCGUGAGACAGGUGCUGCAUGGUUGUCGUCAGCUCGUGUUGUGAAAUGUUGGGUUAAGUCCCGCAACGAGCGCAACCCUUAUCCUUUGUUGCCAGCGGUCCGGCCGGGAACUCAAGGGAGACUGCCAGUGAUAAACUGGAGGAAGGUGGGGAUGACGUCAAGUCAUCAUGACCCUUACGACCAGGGCUACACACGUGCUACAAUGGCGCAUACAAAGAGAAGCGACCUCGCGAGAGCAAGCGGACCUCAUAAAGUGCGUCGUAGUCCGGAUUGGAGUCUGCAACUCGACUCCAUGAAGUCGGAAUCGCUAGUAAUCGUGGAUCAGAAUGCCACGGUGAAUACGUUCCCGGGCCUUGUACACACCGCCCGUCACACCAUGGGAGUGGGUUGCAAAAGAAGUAGGUAGCUUAACCUUCGGGAGGGCGCUUACCACUUUGUGAUUCAUGACUGGGGUGAAGUCGUAACAAGGUA